rnacentral:rRNA from 1 species
UACGGAGGGUGCAAACGUUGCUCGGAAUCAUUGGGCGUAAAGCGCACGUAGGCGGCCUUGUAAGUCGGAUGUGAAAUCCCUGGGCUUAACCGAGGAAGUGCAUUCGAAACUGCAAGGCUUGAAUACAGGAGAGGAUCGCGGAAUUCCCGGUGUAGAGGUGAAAUUCGUAGAUAUCGGGAGGAACACCAGAGGCGAAGGCGGCGAUCUGGACUGAUAUUGACGCUGAGGUGCGAAAGCGUGGGGAGCAAACAGGAUUAGAAACCCCCGUAGUCC